rnacentral:rRNA from 1 species
UCGGGAAUUUUGGGCAAUGGGCGAAAGCCUGACCCAGCAACGCCGCGUGAAGGAUGAAGUAUUUCGGUAUGUAAACUUCGAAAGAAUAGGAAGAAUAAAUGACGGUACUAUUUAUAAGGUCCGGCUAACUACGUGCCAGCAGCCGCGGUAAUACGUAGGGACCAAGCGUUGUUCGGAUUUACUGGGCGUAAAGGGCGCGUAGGCGGCAAUUCAAGUCAUCUGUGAAAUCUCCGGGCUUAACUCGGAACGGUCAGAUGAUACUGCUUUGCUAGAGUGCAGAAGGGGCAAUCGGAAUUCUUGGUGUCGCGGUGAAAUGCGUAGAUAUCAAGAGGAACACCUGAGGUGAAGACGGGUUGCUGGGCUGACACUGACGCUGAGGCGCGAAAGCCAGGGGAGCAAACGGGGAUUAGAUACCCUAGUAGUCCCUGAGCGGGCUGGCAAGGCGCAU